GGUUCUGUAGUGUAGUGGUAAUCGCAUCUGCCUAACACGCAGAAGAUCCUGGGUUCAAACCCCAGUGUUACCA